rnacentral:lncRNA from 1 species
GCUUGCAAGAAAUACCCGUUAUCUAACCAAUUGCUUCGCCAAGAUCAUUAAAGUAUAACUAUAAUAUUAAAAACACAGCUCGCUUUAUUCCAAUGGUAAAUAUAUUUUUUAUAAAUUUAUUUGUGACUUAAAAUAAUUUGAGAGAUUUAUAUUGAAUGAUUCUUCAACGAUUACAGAAGGAUUAUAAAAUCUAUAUUGAACAAAAUCCCCUAAAAUAUAGUUAAAAACAAAAAUUAAAAAAAACACGAGAACAUAUAUAUCCGUUAUCCUAUAUUAAAAUAAAAUCACAAACCUUGCAAAAACAUAAUAUAAAACAAAAAAUUAAGCAUAUUUACAUUAUGCCAUAAUGUAAAAUCAUUAUUUUUCCAUAUAUUUUCGAAAAACAUACCAAAUAAGAAAUAGAAAAACAUCAAGAAGAUUUUCCACUUUUUAAUGUUUUAAAAACAGAAUACUAAAUUACAUUAGAAUGAAAACUUCUUGACAUAAAAGUCUUACCUCAAACAAAUUUCUUUUUUUAUUAUUUUUUAGACUAAAAUACAGUCCCUUAGACAAAUCAAUUCAAAACAGCCCUUACUCUUCCCUAGCCAAGAUAAAAAUGAUAAAACUCAUACCAUUGCGCGAUCCAGCUUAAUUCCUGAAUGCAAUUUGACACCGGUACGAAAAUGUCCAACUCAAGAUGAUAAUCUACGGACAAGAUAGAAGCUAAACCUUGCACAAACCGGCUUUUGACUGAGAAUCCCGCGGUUUGUCGUUCCACACAAAAAACAUUGUCAACAAUAUUGAAUCAAAUUAAGAACGAGAGAAAUCACAUUUAAACUUGUCGAGAAGCUUCAACAAGAAAAUCAAUAAUUAAAUUAAGGUUCCCAAGACAAACACCUGGCUGCACCACUACCCCAAACCUCUUAUAGAAGGUUCUUAGAAAAUUGUACCUUUUCAAACUGACUAAAAAAUUUGCAGCUCCUUUUCUUCAAUUGUGGCAUCUUCCAAUCCAUUGAUUUCCUCCAAAAGUCCAAUAUUAGGACGCCUUACAUAGCUUGCAAGAAAAAACCGUUAUCUAAACCAAUUUGCUUCGCCAAUAUUAAAUACUAGACUAUAUUAAAAAAUAAGCUUUACCAAUUUAAUAUAUUUUUAUAAAUUUUACUUUUGAUUAAAAAUAAUUAAUUGAGUAGCAGUUUCUAUUUAAAGUGAUUUUUUAUUACGAUUAAAAAUAUAAAAAGUAUUUAUUAAGGAAAAAAACAAACAUUAAAUAUUAAAAAAACAUUAAAAAAAACACAGAACCAUUUUAAUUAUCGUUAUUGCUAUAUGUAAAAAAAAAAUCACCAAACUUUGGCAAAACAGAAACAUAUAAAACAAAAAUUUAACAUAUUUACAUUAAUGCCAUUAAUGAAAAAUAAUUAUUUUCCAUAUAUUUUCAAAACACCAAAUAGAAAAGAAAAACAUCAAAAAGAUGUUUUCACUUUUUAAUUUUUCAAAACAUAAUACUAAAAUUAAUUAUGAAAACUCUAUGAUAUAAAAGUCUUAUCAAACAAAUUUUUUAUUUUAUAAUUUUUUAGAACUAAAAUACAAUUCUUAGAAAUCAAUUCAAACAGGCCCUUACUCUCCCUACCAAGAUAAAAUGGAUAAACUAUACCAUGCGAUCCACUUAAUUUUCUGACAAGUUUGAAGGUAUGAUAUGUCCACCUCAAGAAGAUAAUCUACGGACAAGAUAGAAGCUAACCUUGCACAAACCGUUUUGACUGAGAAUCCCGCGGUGUCGUUCCACCAAAAAAAAAUGUCAACAACAUUCGGAAUCAAAUUAAGAAUGAGAAGAAGAUCAUUUAAAUCUGUCUGAGAAGCUUCCACAAGAAAAUCAUAAUUAAAUUGAGGUUCCAAGACCAAACACCAUGGCACCACUACCCCAAAUCCUCUAUAGAAGGUCUAGAAAAUUGUAUCUUUUCAAACUGACUAGAAAAUUGCAGCUUCAAUUGGGCACUUCCAAUCCAUUGAUUUCUCCAAAAGUCAAUAUAGGAACCCUUACAUAGCUUGCAAGAAAACCCAUUACCUAACCAAUUUGCUUCGCCACCCCUAAUACCUAAAGAGACCCUUAGAUACUCAAAUAAAAGAGUUUAAAUAAAUAAUGCCAAAUAAAAGAUAUAAUAGUUUUAAUGAGUCAUCAAAUAUAGACUAUAUUAAAAAAAUAAACUUUACCAAUUUAAAUAUAUUUUUAUAAAUUUACUUCUGAUUAAAAAUAAUUAAUUGAGAGAGUUCUAUAUUAAAGUGGAUUUUUUAUACGAUUAAAAAUAGAUAAAAAGUAUGAUACAGGAAAAAAAAACAUAAAUAUAUUAAAACAAAAUUAAAAAAAACACAGAACAUUAUUAUCGUUAUGCUAUAUUAAAAAAAAUCACAAACUUGCAAAAACAAAAUAUAAAACAAAAAUUUAACAUAUUUACAUUAAUGCCAUUAAUGAAAAAUCAUUN